UAGCAGCCAUACGACUGACGGAAGUGGAGUAUACCACAUGGAGUAUGGCCAAGAAGAGCCGACCGUCUGGGCAAGCACC
rnacentral:ncRNA from 2 species